rnacentral:rRNA from 1 species
UACGUAGGGUGCGAGCGUUGUCCGGAUUUAUUGGGCGUAAAGGGCUCGUAGGCGGCCUGUCGCGUCGGGGAGUGAAAGCCCACUGCUUAACGGUGGGUCUGCUUCCGGUACGGGCGGGCUGGAGUAUGGCAGGGGAGACUGGAAUUCCUGGUGUAGCGGUGAAAUGCGCAGGAUAUCAGGAGGAACACCGGUGGCGAAGGCGGGUCUCUGGGCCGAUACUGACGCUGAGGAGCGAAAGCGUGGGGAGCGAACAGG